AUCGCUUCUCGGCCUUUUGGCUAAGAUCAAGUGUAGUAUCUGUUCUUAUCAGAUGUCAAGGAAAUAAACAAAAGCCUGGAACGGAGUGAUCCGUUUUGCAUUGCUUUCUAUGGGAAAGCAGCGCGCCUUGGUUUUGGAACGCUUUGGUUUUGGAACGGAUUAAGUUUGAGAGCCAAGGUACCACUG